ACCGGCCAAACACCUGGCAGCAGAAGUAAACUUCAGCAUGAAGCUGCAACACUCUUGCUAGCCCUUGGCACAGUUUUCCGGCCAGAAGCUCGGUCUCCAGUUUGAAAGGAGGGAAGUCGGGAAAAGUGCUGGGAGUUUGAGCAUUCACGUAUAGCCACCUCUCUCUGGCCCCUUUUGAGAGUCAACCCUUUUAGCUGAGCUGCCCGGGCUUCCGAGGAGAAAACUGUGCCAAAGCAGAAAACUGUCCGAGUUGUGAUUACUCAGUGAGCUGGCUUGGGAACGUGGAUGUAUCGCCCUCAUCCCCAGUCCCACUUCCCAGCCCCUACGCUGCUCUCGGAUUUUGCGCGGAUUGCGAGGCAACGUGCACCACGCACGCGACCCCGUGCUCGGCACAGGGCGGGAGCUCAGACCCCGCUCGCCUGGCCUUUUCCUGCACCCUCGCUGGGACAACGCCUGGGACGACUCUCAGGUGGGGACAAGUUGCCCCCAGACUUGUUUUCAGGUUGAAACUGAAGGCUUGUGGUCUCCCUGGCCUGGAAGCCUUGUCUGCUCCCUUAGACAGCUCUGCAUGUCUGGCCUGUGAUUGGAAAUGCUGACUCUGAAAGGUCUAGAAGAUUAGGAUGUCGUGGCCUGCUACUUAAGCACUGCACAGUCAUGUCACUGCAACUCAAAGCAGGGAAUGAGUUUCACCACAGUUUCCAAGGAAGUAAGGAAUGGUCUGCAUGCGUUGUAAAGGGUAGCCUAGAACUGGAAGGUGACUGUUCGGCUCAGUCAGGUCCUCACUCUUGUGGACUUGGACAAGAAGACAGUUAAGUCAUAAUAACAGGAGGAGACACAGAAACUGAGACUCGCCAAGAAACCCUAAUGGCAGAGCAUUCACACUGGAUGGCCGUCGCCGAGAGGCUGAUCACGUGAUGGAAUGUCUGAGCUUCCUGAGGGCGGGUUCUGGAACUUCCAGCACACUGCUGUGUCCAUGGAUAGCGGAUUGUAUUUUACAAAGACGGCUGCAGCAAUAUCUCCUGUUUCAACUGCUCUUCUAGAACCUUGCCACCUCCCCGUCAAGAGGUGUAUCCUAUGUCUCCUCCCUUUGAACCUGGAUGGAACUUUGAGACUGUCUCAAACAACAGAGUAGAGAUGAAGAGAUGCUGUAUUACUUCCGAAGGUCCACCCAGCUGAACUUGGGAAUGUCCUGAGCCAGACUAGCUUGGGAGGCUGGUCAGCUCCAUGGUGAGAUCAGAUUCCUACGUGGUAGCCACUGCUGCCUCGUCUGCAGUACAAUGAUAA